GGACUACAAGGGUAUCUAAUCCUGUUUGCUACCCACGCUUUCGUGCCUCAGCGUCAGUCAUGGUCCAGUAAGCUGUCUACACCGCAGGUGUUCCUCCUGAUAUCUACGCAUUUCACCGCUACACCAGGAAUUCCGCUUACCUCUCCCAUACUCGAGCAUUCCAGUUUCCGCCGCACCCUCCCAGUUGAGCCGGGAGAUUUCACAACAGACUUAGAACACCGCCUACGCACUCUUUACGCCCAGUAAUUCCGAACAACGCUCGCUGCCUACGUAUUACCGCGGCGGCUGGCAC
rnacentral:rRNA from 1 species